AAAAUUGAGAGUUUGAUCCUGGCUCAGGACGAACGCUGGCGGCGUGCUUAACACAUGCAAGUCGAGCGAUGAAGCUUCCUUCGGGAAGUGGAUUAGCGGCGGACGGGUGAGUAACACGUGGGUAACCUGCCUCAAAGUGGGGGAUAGCCUUCCGAAAGGAAGAUUAAUACCGCAUAAUAUGAGAGAAUCGCAUGAUUUUCUUAUCAAAGAUUUAUUGCUUUGAGAUGGACCCGCGGCGCAUUAGCUAGUUGGUAAGGUAACGGCUUACCAAGGCAACGAUGCGUAGCCGACCUGAGAGGGUGAUCGGCCACAUUGGAACUGAGACACGGUCCAGACUCCUACGGGAGGCAGCAGUGGGGAAUAUUGCGCAAUGGGGGAAACCCUGACGCAGCAACGCCGCGUGGGUGAUGAAGGUCUUCGGAUUGUAAAGCCCUGUUUUCUGGGACGAUAAUGACGGUACCAGAGGAGGAAGCCACGGCUAACUACGUGCCAGCAGCCGCGGUAAUACGUAGGUGGCGAGCGUUGUCCGGAUUUACUGGGCGUAAAGGGUGCGUAGGCGGAUGUUUAAGUGGGAUGUGAAAUCCCCGGGCUUAACCUGGGGGCUGCAUUCCAAACUGGAUAUCUAGAGUGCAGGAGAGGAAAGCGGAAUUCCUAGUGUAGCGGUGAAAUGCGUAGAGAUUAGGAAGAACACCAGUGGCGAAGGCGGCUUUCUGGACUGUAACUGACGCUGAGGCACGAAAGCGUGGGUAGCAAACAGGAUUAGAUACCCUGGUAGUCCACGCCGUAAACGAUGGAUACUAGGUGUAGGGGGUAUCAACUCCCCCUGUGCCGCAGUUAACACAAUAAGUAUCCCGCCUGGGGAGUACGGUCGCAAGAUUAAAACUCAAAGGAAUUGACGGGGGCCCGCACAAGCAGCGGAGCAUGUGGUUUAAUUCGAAGCAACGCGAAGAACCUUACCUGGACUUGACAUCCCUUGCAUAGC
rnacentral:rRNA from 1 species